rnacentral:lncRNA from 1 species
GGAUUGAUUCAUAAGGAACAUGAAAUGGAGAGAGAACUAUACCAGUUUGAAAAUUCUAAAGAUUAAUCUUAACAAACAAAUUGGCCAAGAGUGAUAUCACUUCACAAGACUAAGAAAGAGUAACAAAUUGGGGUAAGCUUAUAUGGUCUAAAUAUAUUAUUCCUCGUAUCUCUAUUCAUUCAUGGAAAGUGUUACAAGGUAAGGUAUUGUCAGAAGAUGUGUUGCAACGACGAGGAUUUUCCUUGGCAUCUCAUUGUGUCCUUUGUGGCUUGGAGGGUGAAUCAUUGCUUCACAUUUUUUUCUCAUGCUCUUAUGCUUAUUCCUUGUGGGGAUGCUGGGUAUCUUGGUUUGAGUUGGGUGUUAUGCCAUCAACUAUUAUGGAUUUGUUAUUCUAUGGUUUGAAUGGUCGUAGCCAAUAACUUAGAGAAUUGUGGCUGCUUUGUUUUACUACUACUCUAUGGUUUAUUUGGAAGGCAAGGAACAUAAUGAAGCAUGAUGGUCGUUUCAUUGGUGUGGAUGCUUUAUGCAAACUCAUGAUGGUCGUUUCAUUGGUGUGGAUGCUUUAUGCAAACUUAUUUUCGAGCACAUACAAACUGCUAGUAGAUUAGCUACAGGUUGUAUGUCCAACUCUUUGGAGGAGUUACGAGUCUUGAAGAAUUAUAAUAUUUCAUGUCAUCCACGUAAAGCUCCUUGUAUUAUUAAGGUUAAUUGGCAUCCUCCAAUCCUUGGGUGGAUGAAAAUUAAUACUGAUGGUGCGUGGCAGCGUACAUCAGGACGAGCCGGAUACGGUGGUAUUUUUCGUGACUUCCGUGGUUCUUUUCUUGGUGCCCUUUUGCGUCUAAUCUUGAUAUUCAUAGCUCCGUUGAGGCUGAGGUCAUGUCAGUAAUCCAAGCUAUUGAGUUAGCUUGGGUUAGAGAAUGGAAACAUAUAUGGCUUGAGGUGGACUCCACUCUUGUCCUUCAAUAUCUUCAGGAUCCUCAUCUUGUUCCUUGGCGGUUACGGGUGGCCUGAAGUAAUUGCUUGCACCAUAUCAAUAAAUUUAUUGUUUCUUGUACCUUUUUUUUAUCAAUAAAUUUUCGUGGGGGGACGAUGAGUUAAUCUCUCUAUGCUUACCCAAAAUAAACUUCACAAGAGUAAGAAAGGCACAAGUUGUUUUAUUGUAGUCGACUAUGGGCUUGAAAUGACAUCUUCAUCUUAUAUUAAACGGCUAACCAAAGGAGAGAAACUAAAAUCCCAACAGUAGUUACCAAAAACCAAAAACCAAAAACACAAAACUGACUAAAAGCCCAAGAUUAAUAGGUGACCCAGCAUGAUACAAUAUUGGGCUAAGGUAUUUUAUGUGUCAAAAGAUACAAACUAAACUGGUUAUCCAUUUUCAAACAAUUAAUUUGACCAGUUUAAGAUGAAAUUUUGAUGCUCAUGAGCCCUAAAGCUAGCUUAGGUUUUGUGUUUUGAAACAAGACUCGAUCAAGAGAAUUUAUAGUAUUAACGAUAACCCUAAUUUGAAAUAAGAAAAGACUUGCUCAACUCUUGUACACAUAUAAUAUUUCUUCUUUAAAUAAGUCGUGUAUGCGAGUUUUAUAUAUAAUAGAGCCUGACCAAUCUAAUACACAUGUUAUGCGAGUUUAUUUCAUGGUGGCGGGUUGACUCGUGGUUUAACCAUGUAUUAAAUGGGUGAUGAUGUAUUGACACGUCGCUCACCUGCUUUUUAAUCGUGCAGUUUCAACUUGCUUUAUUUCAUAUGGGUUUCUAGUUGUAUUAUUAUUCGAGUCGGAAAUGACAGCCCUAUACUAAUAGAUCGUCUAUUAAUUCUUUUCUUCUACUUCCCCAAGUUGAAUUCCUCGCUACAGGGUUCUCACUGUAACUUCUAAUAUUUUGCUUUCACUUUUCCGCCUCCUUUAGUCGUUAGAGCAAGUCAAUUUUUUUUAUGACCCAGGUCAUUAACCCCAUAAAAACAAUGGCCCAAACCCAAUUUUCACCCCUUCAACAGCUCCACCCAUCACAAUGGGUUAACCUCGAUAAUCACCCAAGUCAUUUCUUGGUUUAGAGUUGUGACCUAGAAGCUCACCACAAAUAACUUGGGUUAACCUAAUACCAAUUCAGAUGCAUGACCCGAAACCUGGGCAAUUUCAGCAAGCCAUCCGAGGCCCACAACUUGAGUGAUGCUAAGGUUCCGUGUGCGUGAGACGCACCAAAGGCUCAAGUGUGUGCAAGCCAACCAUUUGUCGCCUAGCCUUUCAAGGAAAAGUUGUCGGCAACAAAACCAUAAAUAUAAUCAUCAAAACAUAAUCAAUACCAUGCCAACACCUAAGUUAGCAAAUGUGUAGAGCGUGACAAGGAGAUGGAGUAUCAUACUACAUGCAGCUCGAACAGUGACUGGAGUCACCAAAACGUAGGGAAACCAGUCAAAAAUAGCCACUGCUCUCAACCUUUCAGCCUUCGUUUCUCUCUCCUUUGUCAAUGAUAUAUACAUUAAACCACCACCACAUAUGUGAUGAUGACGAAGAGACAAAGAGACAAAGAUAGAUGCGCCAGCUAAGGGCGAUUAGAGAUGGGGGAGACAGCCGGGUCAUCAUUUGAUGUGUACAAGUCGGUAUUCGGCUCGAGUGUUUCAAUCUAAUCAUACACCUAUAUAUACAUCCAUCAACUCCAUCAACUGCUAAGAUCAAAUGAUGAAGAUGAUUUUCAACGGUCCAUAUUGCAAUGCUUAAAGGCUAACCAAAUAAUUUCUUAAUAUUCCAAAACUUCUAAAAUCAUUCGAAUAUGAAAAUAUUUUCAGAUUUUCGACAAAAGAAGAAGAAAUAACGUACUCUAGGACUGAACAUAUGCUAGCAAAAACACCACAAAAUGUCAAAAUGGGUAUCAGAUCACCACACAGUGUGUAAGAGGAGCAAAAGAAAAUGACAAAGAUCAGGAGAAUUAAGAGAAGAAGCUAAGAAAAACCCACCCCAAAUUCUCAAGCCUUCGAUCUAGAUCCGGAGCGAUCAAGAUGUAGGCAAGAAAGAACGGGGACAACACUGGUUUUUCUCAUAUAUGUUUUCUCUCAAGAUUUUAGAGUGAGUGAGUUAUGAGUGAUUUGUAAUUCUUACACUAUUCUUUAUCCAUAAACCCAGAUCAUAUUAUAUAUAUGAGUUUGUUAUUUCACAAAAUGAAACUCUAUAUAAUGUGAAAAAAUGAGAAUGAGAAAGUAUAUCUCAUAUUAAAAACUUGAGACAUUGAUAUGAGUAUAUAACAAAUAUGACCCUUUGCUAGCCAUUGCUAAUGUUGUUAGCAAGGAAUCUAGGUGAUAUAGACAUUUUGCGGACGAGUAGGUCAUGCUUCUUAUGAAUAUAUUGUUCAAAGACAUUGAAAAUGCAGUUUGUUUAGUGAACUGUAAAAUUUAAUUGAGAAUGGAAUGUGAGGAAAGGAGCAACUUUGAGAGUUUGAGACCCCAAUAUUGAAAGAAAUUGAAUUGGUAGGAAUAAUCAUUCAUUCAUGUACCUAUGAACUCUUCUGUAAGUCUUUUGUAAAACUUAAUGAGCAACCAAGAUGAUUUCACAAGCAAUUAAACACAACAAAAUGAUCAAUAUAAUACUGAAACAUGAAACAAGAACUCACCAUCUUUAUGAGUUCUAGGAAUGUACUCACCAUUCAGAUCCAUCCUAGCCAUAGCACUUAAGCAGCAAAAACACAGCAACAAGAUUGAAUAGCCUCUGCAAUCCCAACGCCUUAGCACCUUGCUGCAACACACUUUGAGUCUUUAAUUCUACUUAGAUCUCAACUUUUUUCUAUGGGGCAGAACUAUAUUUUUCUUAUUGGGUCUCUAAAGCACCUGCUAUAUAAAGCUAGAUAAGCUCUUCCCAUAAGAGAGUGAUUCUAGCUGAAUACUUGAUUUUAGGAGUUUGAUGUUUGAUUAUCACAAUCAACGUAAAUGGAUUUCUAAUCAGAUGAGUGAUAUACUCCCAUCUGAUAACAAGAAAGAUUCUCUUAAUAAAUUUCCUAUUAAACAGAAAUUGAUCUUUCAAUUGUUUCUUAAUAUAGAUUAUAUUAGGUCCAAACAUAUUUUACAAUCUCUCACUUGGACAAAUAUUGUCUAUAUAACAAUUGCAUGAAGAAACAUAUAUGAAAAUAGCUAAAGUGUGCAUUGAGAUUGAUAAGAGCUGAAGAUCCGUUCACAACUGUCAAAAUUAUAGCAGCUAAUAGUGAACUUGGAAAUAAACAUGCCUAUGUAAACAUACUUGUUCCAGAUUACACAUAUCAACUUCUAUAUUUCACAUUAACCACAACACAGAUAUGAUAAAGAUCAAGUAUCAAUGUAUAUCAUGAUGUAGUAGUUACUUGAUCACAGUAUUAGCUAAAAAGUCACCGCUCAAGUAUAAAGGGUACACGUAAUAGUAUAGGGAUUAAGAAAUGUUGUCGAACCCACAAGGUUUGGAUUCCUUUCACUAGCUAGGGUGUUAACCUUAAGAGAGGUAGAAUGUGCAAAUGUACAAUCACAACCCUAAACACACAAGGAAAUCUAAGCUCAUGGUGAGUAUGUGCAACAUGGAGUAGUGAUUUGAUUUUGGGUUUUUGAAGUAGUUAACUAAACUAAACUAAAUGCUCAAAUGUAAACUAAAUUACUCUAAACUAAGCUAGUGGUCUAAUGAUUGGUGUUAGGAUUCGAAUUGUCUACCACUAACCUCUCUUGCAAGUAUUGAUGCAAAUCACU